UACGUAGGGUGCAAGCGUUGUCCGGAAUUAUUGGGCGUAAAGAGCUCGUAGGCGGUUUGUCGCGUCUGCUGUGAAAACCCGAGGCUCAACCUCGGGCCUGCAGUGGGUACGGGCAGACUAGAGUGCGGUAGGGGAGAUUGGAAUUCCUGGUGUAGCGGUGGAAUGCGCAGAUAUCGGGAAGAACACCCGUGGCGAAGGCGGCUCUCUGGGACGGUACUGACGGCUGAGA
rnacentral:rRNA from 1 species